CACGGGGUGAGCAAGCGUUGUUCGGAAUCAUUGGGCGUAAAGGGUGCGUAGGCGGCCGUGCAAGUCUGGCGUGAAAGCCCCGGGCUCAGCCCGGGAAGUGCGCUCGAAACUGCGCGGCUCGAGUGCCGGAGGGGAGAGUGGAAUUCCUGGUGUAGCGGUGAAAUGCGUAGAUAUCAGGAGGAAUACCGGUGGCGAAAGCGACUCUCUGGUUCAAGACUGACACUGAGAUGCGAAAGCGUGGGGAGCGAACGGG
rnacentral:rRNA from 1 species